CAGACAGACUGAAAGACACCGUGAGGGAAGAUGGAGGGAUCCAAAGUAAAUUCUAGGUUUCUAAUUCAGAGAAGAAUCUCUCAAAACACUUCGCUUUGCCUGUCAGCCCUCCCUGUAACCCAUACACGUUUAGAUAUGAGCUCUCAAAACUGUACUUGAGCCGAAGAUAGAAAUUGGAAGGCUCAGCUCUUCUGCCGCUGAUUUUUAAAGUCUAGCUCAUCGAAUUCUAUCUGUAGACCUCCCACCCCCCAGAAGCUCGGCAUCCAUCAUCGACAGGCACACAAAGCGUUCUCAGCAGCCCACGACACACAUCUCGUGUCUGAGAACCAUUUGUCCAGGUGAUGGAGAUGAGGUUUGAUUUCAGAGCUCAUUUUAAGAUUUGUCCAUUUAAUUUUUUUCCCACUGUGAUUAUUUUUUCCAUUGGGUAAUGAGAAGGAAAUCUGGUGUGGAAGCAUACAAAAUGUUAAGUCCUUCAGAAGUGGUUGUGUUGUGACUUCCAGCGACUAGCUGGUCUUCCUGGGGAGCAGGGUCUCAGUGGCUCAGCAGAGUUGGCUUCUGGUCCUCUGAGUAUUACUGGGUUUUGGAGGAGUCCCUGCCCUGCCCCUAGGCCCCCUCCCUCUUGCCACAGGUGGCUGCAAGCCCUCCCUUUGAGCCUGCCAUUCUCUCCCACAGCCCACACCCUGCAGAAGCCCAGAGGGCUGAGGGUGCACCCUUGGCUCCAGAAUUCAUCCCUUGGGUCCUGGCCCUUCCUGGUGAACACUGUCAUCCGGGAGGGGUCUUCUACAGGUCCUCACACUUCCAGCACAGUUGUAGGACUUUGCAAAACUUUGUAGUUUUUUGUUUGGGGGUUUUUUGUUGUUGUUGUUGUGUUUUGUGGGUUUUUUUUUUUUUUCUUUCUUUUUUUGGAGACAGGGUUUCUCUGUGUAGUUUUGGUGCCUGUCCUGGAUCUCACUCUGUAGACCAGGUUGGCCUGGAACUCAGAGAUGCACCUGGCUCUGCCUCCCGAGUGCUGGGAUUAAAGGCGUGCGCCACCGCUAACUUAAUGGUUUUAAAAUCACGUUUCCUGAGGCUUUCCAAUCACUAUGCGCACAACAGCAGUACCCACAUCAUUUAGCCUCCAGAUAAUGAAUGCAGCGUGAAAAGGAAGCCAACCAGCCCAGCCAUGGAGAGAGCAGUAGAUACUCAAACCUGGGCCCUCAUUUCAGCUUACAGCAGAAAACACAAAGCCUGCAGCCCAGCCAGGCCUUUUAAUAUGCAAGGCGGCCCACAGAGAAGUCCAGCCAAACCCCAGAAAAUACAGGCUCCAGCCUUGCCACUGGUAUUUCAUAAGUCUAUUGCUUCGGUGCAGUCCCAGAGAAAUUGAGGUUAUCCUUCGAGGUUCGGAAGGAAGGUUAAUGAGCAAAAGCCAGCUUGCUCUGUUUUAUCACCUGAAUCACAGCCGCUGAUCCAGGGUAACACAGAAGUCACGGGUCAAAUCCAAGAUCUCACUGCAAAUCAGGGAGUUUUUCUCCCAGGAAUAUGAAAGUGACCUGGUGUCUCCUAAUAACACCUCAGAAGCCGUCAGCCCCGAGAAUUGGAAGGAGUGAUAACGCAGGAUUGCAAACCUGAACUGCAGGGCUAGCUCGGCAUCCAUUCCAUUGAUUGCCUCUGCUCUUCAGAUCUGGGCUUCCAGGCUCCACGCACGCUGACUUCCGCUGUGUGAAACGGGGCCUUAAGGAGUUUCCCUGGAGGAUCUGCAGUUCCUGAAAUGAACCCAAUCUGAAGAAGCUGGGACACAGUGGGGAAAGAGGAGAGCCAUGUGACCUGAACUUCCUCCUGGCAGUUCCCUCUGGGAAUUCACUCAGGUCCCUAGAUCACAAGCCCCUUCCAUGCCGAGCUGGCUGGCUUCUUUUUCAGGCUUUAUUUCUGCAGGCCAGGAGUGUGGGUGCCGCUGUUACAUGCUUACAGACUGGAAGAUCUUGGCCAAUGCCAUUUAGAAUCGUAGAGGUUGCAAAUAAUCAACGGUCCACAGUCAUGCCAACCACAGCUGUAGCUGAAGUUUUCUCCAGUCCUGCCUGGCCCGCGGCCAGGACAAAUCUCUCUCACCCGCCAGUCCCGCAGCUGCUCAGACCCAACCAAGUAAAUAACAUAUAAAUAAAAAUAUUGUUUACAAACUGUAUGGCCGUGGCAGGCUUCUUGCUAACUGUUCUUAUAUCUUAAAUUAACCCAUUUCUGUUAGUCUAUAAGUUGCCACGUGGCUCGUGGCUUACCCGUACCUUACGACUCGUUUGUCAUGGCGGCGGCUGGCAGCGUCUCUCUGACUCAGCCUUCCACUUUCCAGAAUUUUCCUCUCUCCUUGUCCCGCCUAUACUUCCUGCCUGGCUACUGGCCAAUCAGUGUUUUAUUUAUUAACCAAUCAGAGCAAUACAUUUAACAUAUAGAACAUCCCACAGCCCUCUUGAACUUGGCAGUCCGGCACCCCAUUGGGAUGAUGAGGUGGAAGUCCACACUCCAACCGCUGGGAAGAAAAGGACAGUAGGCUGGGUGUUGGAGAAGUGAGUUUGGGGGUUCUACAAAAGUGAUUUCUCUAAAGGAUAAAGCAUCCAUCAUGCUCCCAGUGACAUGGAGAGCCUUACACUGAAAUGUAAUAUAAUGUCUGCGAAUGUUCCAAAAGAAUGGGAGAAAUUAGAGAGAGAAAUAUGCAUUUAGUAGCUUUUUACUUCGCCAAGAUAUUUUUUAAAACCAUGACUUUUACUAUUGUUUUAUCACAAGAAUACUUUAAGUCCUGCACAUGUGUAUACAAAAGUAAAAGGGGAGAGGAGGGAGGGAGGGGGAGACUCAGAUUAAAGAGCAAUGCUUUAACUGACCACACCCAGCUUCCUGCUGGAUCUUUUCAUCUCCUUGGUUUGGGUACCAGUCCCCUCCCUGGUUGUGCAAGGGACUUUCUGAGCAUUCUUUCUCACAGGAAAGAGUAGUAGGUCUCAGAUGUGGGUUUCUUGCUGAGAACUUCUCCAGUAACCAAGCCUAAGAAUAAAUCAGCUCCAGUGGAAAUCGUGCCCU